AUUGAACGCUGGCGGCAGGCCUAACACAUGCAAGUCGAGCGGAUGACGGGAGCUUGCUCCUUGAUUUAGCGGCGGACGGGUGAGUAAUGCCUAGGAAUCUGCCUGGUAGUGGGGGACAACGUUUCGAAAGGAACGCUAAUACCGCAUACGUCCUACGGGAGAAAGCAGGGGACCUUCGGGCCUUGCGCUAUCAGAUGAGCCUAGGUCGGGUUAGCUAGUAGGUGAGGUAAUGGCCCACCUAGGCGACGAUCCGUAACUGGUCUGAGAGGAUGAUGAGUCACACUGGAACUGAGACACGGUCCAGACUCCUACGGGAGGCAGCAGUGGGGAAUAUUGGACAAUGGGCGAAAGCCUGAUCCAGCCAUGCCGCGUGUGUGAAGAAGGUCUUCGGAUUGUAAAGCACUUUAAGUUGGGAGGAAGGGCAGUAAGUUAAUACCUUGCUGUUUUGACGUUACCGACAGAAUAAGCACCGGCUAACUCUGUGCCAGCAGCCGCGGUAAGAC
rnacentral:rRNA from 1 species